rnacentral:rRNA from 1 species
UACGUAGGGUGCGAGCGUUAAUCGGAUUUACUGGGCGUAAAGCGUGCGCAGGCGGCCCGUUAAGACAGGUGUGAAAUCCCUGGGCUCAACCUAGGAAUUGCGCUUGUGACUGGCGGGCUCGAGUACGGUAGAGGGGGGUGGAAUUCCUGGUGUAGCAGUGAAAUGCGUAGAGAUCAGGAGGAACACCGAUGGCGAAGGCAGCCCCCUGGGCCUGUACUGACGCUGAGGUACGCAAGCGUGGGGAGCAAACAGG